AGCCCAUAUUGAGGACAUUUCUGCAGGAGCUCUUUGAACCUGUCCAAUGUCUCAAAAAGAAACUCCAAUUCCAUUUGCAUAAAAGAAGAUAUCUUAUUCCUAAGCUU